AACGAACGCUGGCGGCAGGCCUAACACAUGCAAGUCGAACGCCCCGCAAGGGGAGUGGCGCACGGGUGAGUAACGCGUGGGAAUAUGCCCUUCGGUUCGGAAUAACACAGGGAAACUUGUGCUAAUACCGGAUACGAUCUACGGAUGAAAGAUUCAUCGCCGAAGGAGUAGCCCGCGUAGGAUUAGCUAGUUGGUGAGGUAAUGGCUCACCAAGGCGACGAUCCUUAGCUGGUCUGAGAGGAUGAUCAGCCACACUGGGACUAAGACACGGCCCAGACUCCUACGGGAGGCAGCAGUGGGGAAUAUUGGACAAUGGGCGAAAGCCUGAUCCAGCCACGCCGCGUGAGUGAUGAAGGCCUUAGGGUUGUAAAGCUCUUUCGCCAGGGAAGAUAAUGACGGUACCUGGAAAAGAAGCCUCGGCUAACUCCGUGCCAGCCGCCGCGGUAAGAC
rnacentral:rRNA from 1 species